rnacentral:rRNA from 1 species
CCAGACUCCUACGGGAGGCAGCAGUGGGGAAUAUUGCACAAUGGGGGGAACCCUGAUGCAGCGAUGCCGCGUGGAGGAAGAAGGUUUUCGGAUUGUAAACUCCUUUUAUCAGGGACGAUAAUGACGGUACCUGAAGAAAAAGCUCCGGCUAACUACGUGCCAGCAGCCGCGGUAAUACGUAGGGAGCGAGCGUUGUCCGGAAUUACUGGGUGUAAAGGGAGUGUAGGCGGCUUAUCAAGUUAGAUGUGAAAUCCCGCGGCUUAACCGCGGAACUGCAUCUAAAACUGGUGAGCUGGAGUGCAGGAGAGGUGAGUGGAAUUCCUAGUGUAGCGGUGGAAUGCGUAGAUAUUAGGAGGAACACCAGAGGCGAAGGCGACUCACUGGACUGUAACUGACGCUGAGGCUCGAAAGCGUGGGGAGCAAACAGGAUUAGAUACCCGAGUA